rnacentral:rRNA from 1 species
AGCGAACGCUAGCGGCAGGCUUAACACAUGCAAGUCGAGCGCCAGGUUUCGGCCUGGAGUGGCGAACGGGUGAGUAACACGUAGGUCACGUACCCUAUGGUGGGGAAUACCCCGGGGAAACUCGGAUCAAUGCCCCAUGCGUCCGAAAGGAUGAAAGCGCUUCGGCGCGCCAGAGGAUCGGCCUGCGGCCCAUUAUUUAAUCCUAGUUGGUGAGGUAACGGCUCACCAAGGGUACGAUGGGUAGCUGGUCUGAGAGGACGAUCAGCCACACUGGAACUGAGACACGGUCCAGACUCCUACGGGAGGCAGCAGUGGGGAAUAUUGGACAAUGGGCGAAAGCCUGAUCCAGCCAUGCCGCGUGAGUGAUGAAGGCCUUCGGGUUGUAAAGCUCUGUCGUGGGGGAAGAAGUUCUGACGGUACCCCACAAGAAAGCACCGGCUAACUCCGUGCCAGCCGCCGCCGUAAAAC